AGCGGUAACAGCUCAAAUUUGAAAUCUGGCUCUUUUAGGGUCCGAGUUGUAAUUUGUAGAAGAUGCUUCGGGUGUGGCUCCGGUCUAAGUUCCUUGGAACAGGACGUCAUAGAGGGUGAGAAUCCCGUAUGUGACUGGCGGCCUUCGCCCGUGUGAAGCUCUUUCGACGAGUCGAGUUGUUUGGGAAUGCAGCUCUAAAUGGGAGGUAUAUUUCUUCUAAAGCUAAAUAUUGGCCAGAGACCGAUAGCGCACAAGUAGAGUGAUCGAAAGAUGAAAAGCACUUUGGAAAGAGAGUUAAACAGUACGUGAAAUUGUUGAAAGGGAAGCGCUUGCAACCAGACUUGCGUGCCGUCGAUCAUCGUGGGUUUUCCCGCGUGCACUCGGCGGCGUUCAGGCCAGCAUCGGUUCCGGUGGUUGGAUAAAGGCCUUGGGAAUGUGGCUCCUCUCGGGGAGUGUUAUAGCCCUCGGUGCAAUGCAGCCUACUGGGACCGAGGACCGCGCUUCGGCUAGGAUGCUGGCGUAAUGGUUGUAAGCGACCCGUCUUGAAACACGGACCAAGGAGUCUAACAUCUAUGCGAGUGUUAGGGUGUUAAACCCUUCCGCGAAAUUAACGUGAACGGAGGUACGAACCCUUUAGGGCGCAGUAUCGACCGGUCCUGAUGUCUUCGGAUGGAUCUGAGUAAGAGCAUAGCUGUUGGGACCCGAAAGAUGGUGAACUAUGCCUGAAUAGGGUGAAGCCAGAGGAAACUCUGGUGGAGGCUCGCAGCGGUUCUGACGUGCAAAUCGAUCGUCAAAUUAGGGCAUAGGGGCGAAAGACUAAUCGAACCAUU
rnacentral:rRNA from 1 species